rnacentral:misc_RNA from 1 species
GAUGAAGAAGGCAGCGAAAUGCGAUACGUAAUGUGAAUUGCAGAAUUCAGUGAAUCAUCGAGUCUUUAAACGCACAUUGCGCCCCCUGGUAUUCCGGGGGGCAUGCCUGUCCGAGCGUCAUUGCUGCCCUCAAGCACGGCUUGUGUGUUGGGCCUCCGUCCUCCUCCCGGGGGACGGGCCCGAAAGGCAGCGGCGGCACCGCGUCCGGUCCUCGAGCGUAUGGGGCUUCGUCACCCGCUCUUGUAGGCCCGGCCGGCGCUUGCCGACACAUCAAUCUUUUUUCCAGGUUGACCUCGGAUCAGGUAGGGAUACCCGCUGAACUUAAGCAUAUCAAUAAGCGGAGGA